CAAUAGCGUAUAUUAAAGCUGUUGCGGUUAAAGAGCUCGUAGUUGGAUUUCUGUCAAGGACAACUGGUCCGCCCCUCGGGUGAGCACAUAGUUUGGUCUUGGCAUCUUGUUGGAAACUGUUGCUGCACUUGGUUGUGUGGCGCAGUGUCCAGCACUUUCACUUUGAGGAAAUUGGAGUGUUUCAAGCAGGCACAUGCCUUUGGACACAGUAGCAUGGAAUAAUUAGAUUGGGCUUUUGCUCCAACUUGUCGGUUUCUGGAGCUGAGGUGAGAAUUAAUGGGGAUUGUUGGGGGCAUCCGAAUUUAGCCGUCAGAGGUGAAAUUCUUGGAUCUGCUAAAGACGGACAACUGCGAAAGCGUUUGCCCAGGAUGUUUUCAUUGA
rnacentral:rRNA from 1 species